GGAGGUGUGUGUCUGUGAUGGCACAACUGAACAUUGAUCGCUUUAGUCUGGAUCUAGGCAGAUCUGCUCAGUCGGUGGCGUCACGUGGUCGAUCCAGUAGCCAAGGACUUUCUACCGAUGCCGGGGGUCGGUUCCCCUCAGGUAUCUACUCGCUCGUCGCACGGUAGCCAUCCUGGCUCCUUGAACGUCCGCCAUAACCAAAUUCACUUGGGGGGUCACGGAUAGAUUACAAUAUUUAGAACACCUCCAUAAUACAGGCACUACGAAAGUACGUAGCCUGCCAUUUUUUUUG
rnacentral:snRNA from 1 species